GCCAGCGGCGAUACCAUGUGGAAUGCAUCAGUUAUCAGUUCCCAUUGGAUCAUUGAAGUUAAGCAAUGUUGCGCUUGUUUGGUAUCCAGAUGGAUGACUUCACUAUCUGGGCAAUCGCGCCCUGCUGGCU
rfam:Asian citrus Psyllid, Diaphorina citri - Florida Strain, whole genome shotgun sequence.